rnacentral:lncRNA from 10 species
GUGAAUUCUGAAACUGUGGGUGGUAACUGAAAGUGACAUAGAAUGGAAGGAAUCUUGAUUUAUAAAGUAUCACUUCAAGCAACGUCACUCAAUGACCGGCAACAUUCCUUUUGGACUUUACCUGGCUUUUAGCUAAACUUGGAGAAAGUGACAAUGCUGUUUCAUGCCCCACAAAGAAAAAAAACCUUGAUCUCUGGCAUGAAGAGUCCAUUGAAACAAGGUAUUGAGACAUCAGAUAUUUAGGAUGAAGGUUUCGUGAGGAACCAGGUACUUGAGGACAAUGAUAGCUGCCUAAAUCUACCACACCACAAUGCAGAAGACUGCACAAGGGAAGAACCUUGAGAACCACAUAAAACUCAGGCUCUGCUGCAAGCCUUUCUUGCAGGCAAAGGCAGUCUAAUAAACAUUUUUUAAAAAUCUUGCAUAGAAGAGAGAAGAAGGGAGUGAGCAGCAGAUCUAAAAUCUUUCUGAAACCACCACUAGGAUGAUAAAGUUAUCCUAACUGUGAAAAUACGGAAAAAAAGUGCAUUACUGCAUCACAGUGCUGAUUACAGGGAAGAGACUUAUAAUACAUGUGCUUUGAAGUGGCAGUCUUCAAAAGGUACAGCUUCUGAGAGAAAAAGAUGAAAAACUAAGAGGGAGGCACUGCAGUGACUGGGUGGUAAAAAAUAAAAGAAGUGGAAGGAAAAGUUACAGUCUUACAAGGCAAAGGGUAACAUGAAAGUCAGAGGGUACAUAACCACUUCCUGCAUCAACAGAAAUCUCAUCCCUGAAAAAAUGUAGACUGUUGCUAUACAGACAGAGGAGGAUGACAAGCCAUUAAACUAGAAAUCUUGUAAACCACCACUCAUAUGCAAAACGAAUAGUAUUGAGAGGUGAAGCUAGCAGGGCUUCUUGGUCGAGUGUGGACUUGGAGAACUUUUCUGUCUAGCUAGAGGAUUGUAAACGCACCAAUCAGCACUCUGCAUCUAACUAAAGGAUUGUAAAUGCACCAAUCAGCACUCUGUAAAAUGGACCAAUCAGCACUCUGUAAAGUGGAAGAAUCAGUGCUCUGUAAAAUGCACCAAUCAGCAGGAUGUGGGUGGGGCCAAAUAAGGUUAUAAAAGCUGGCCACCGGAGCCUGCAGGAACAACCCAAUUGGGUCCUUUUCCAUCCUGUGGAAGCUUUCUUCUUUCACUCUUCACAAUAAAUCUUGCUGAUGCUCACUCUUUAUGAGCUGUAACACUCACCAGAGGGUCUGUGGCUUCAUUCCUGAAGUCAGUGAGACCACGAACCCACCAACCCACGGGGAGGAACAAACAACUCCAGAUGCACUGCCUUUAAGGGCUGUAACACUCACUGCAAAGGUCUGCGGCUUCACUCCUGAAGUAAAUGAAACCACGAACCCACUGGAAGGAAGAAACUCGGGACACAUCUGAACGUCUGAAGGAACAAACUCCGGGCACACCAUCUUUAAGAACUGUAACAGCUCACCACGAGGGUCCACGGCUUCGUUCUUGAAGUCAGCGAGACCAAGAACCCACCAGAAGGAACCAAUUCUGGACACAGGGUGAAAUGGAAUAAGUCUAUGCAAAGUUACCACAAAGACACAAAAAGUGAGAAUUAACACAUUUCAGCUGGAUGAAACUUCUCACCAGAAACAACCAUGAAGAAAAAUAAACAUGUAAGAAAUGAUUCAAAAUGAGUUAAAUAUACUAAAAUCUCAAAUCUGAAGAGCCACUUUGAAUUAGAAAUCUGAAAACUGAAAGCAAAAAUAGAAAAAGCAGAAAAAAAUGAACAGAGUUGAUUGAACUUAGCAAAGAAAUGAUAAAAAGAAGACAAAAUCAUCUCAGAGUGAAGAAGACCGAAAUGGAAGAUAAUAAAGUGAAUUGACGGAACGCAAGAAAAUAAUCUGCAAAUGAAUAUAAGUUAACAAACAUCACAAAGCACCAGCUCCUUUAAUUGAGAAAAGAAGAAAGCACGAUGUACAAAAUAAUGACAAGGGGGACUAACCACUGAAACGGUAUGCAUCUGAGGAGAUGGCGAAGACAUUUUUAACAUCUUUAUCAGGAUCUACUGGGAGCAAGGACAUUACCAACCACAGGAGAUAACUAUAAAGCAUUCCAAAAGUAGCUCCUGUCAUGCCCUGUCCUGGGUUCUGCUAGAGGCACAGUGUUUGACCAUGGAGCAUCAAGUGACCAAGUGACCAGUGCCCCGUCAUGAGCUGCAUCGGGUCACACCCACAAAGACAUAGUUUCAUGCUGUACCUGUUAAGAGGUCCUGGCUUCCAGAAGGAAAUUACUUCCACCAGUGGACAUGGUGGAGGAGAGUGGAGGGGAGUAAGAUUAGAAGCAAGGAUACCAGUAGGAUGCAGUUACAGCAAUCCAGGUGGCUGUGCUACAAUUGUAAUAACAUCAGAUCUGUGCUGGGCUGACCAUGGUCUGAGCCACCAGCCAAAAGCCACCAGGAUUGUAUCUGAAUUGAAUGAGUUGGAAUUGACCUUUUGUUAAAUGAGCUGAAUCUCCCGAAAAGAAGAAGCCCAUGAUGGAGAACUGUGGAGUACCAGCAUCUCUGUUGGAGAGUGUUAGAAAGGACUUACUACAGGAGCCUGGGCCUCGUGUGAGGAGCAGUGGACAUCUCCGGAGGGAGCCACCUGAACAGAUGCUGGCUGUCUCGUGCCGAGGCCCCGCGCCAGAUCACAGAACUGUGAAGUGAUCCUGGGCAGAGGUGAACAAGAAUGGCUGACGUUGACUUGUGUUUCAUACCAUUUCAGAAAGAUGGGAGCUCAUCAUUGAAAUUAAGUUAAAUUGUAGAAAAUAAGGAAUUUUGGAACUUCUUAGACAAGAUGCAAUAAUUAUACUGUUUCCUGGUGGAGGUCUUGCCCUUCUCCUCCCUUCCUUUAUUUUUAUUGCUGUAGCGUGGAUUUGGACCUAUUUUUCUUUUAGUCUGUGGUCACAGAGGGUUCAGAAGUGUAGCUGUGCUUGUGAAGACACAU